rnacentral:rRNA from 1 species
GGCCCACCAAGGCGACGAUCGGUAGCCGGACUGAGAGGUUGAACGGCCACAUUGGGACUGAGACACGGCCCAGACUCCUACGGGAGGCAGCAGUGGGGAAUAUUGCACAAUGGGGGAAACCCUGAUGCAGCGACGCCGCGUGGAGGAAGAAGGUCUUCGGAUUGUAAACUCCUGUUGUUGAGGAAGAUAAUGACGGUACUCAACAAGGAAGUGACGGCUAACUACGUGCCAGCAGCCGCGGUAAAACGUAGGUCACAAGCGUUGUCCGGAAUUACUGGGUGUAAAGGGAGCGCAGGCGGGAAGACAAGUUGGAAGUGAAAUCCAUGGGCUCAACCCAUGAACUGCUUUCAAAACUGUUUUUCUUGAGUAGUGCAGAGGUAGGCGGAAUUCCCGGUGUAGCGGUGGAAUGCGUAGAUAUCGGGAGGAACACCAGUGGCGAAGGCGGCCUACUGGGCACCAACUGACGCUGAGGCUCGAAAGUGUGGGUAGCAAACAGGAUUAGAUACCCUGGUAGUCCACACUGUAAACGAUGAUUACUAGGUGUUGGAGGAUUGACCCCUUCAGUGCCGCAGUUAACACAAUAAGUAAUCCACCUGGGGAGUACGACCGCAAGGUUGAAACUCAAAGGAAUUGACGGGGGCCCGCACAAGCAGUGGAGUAUGUGGUUUAAUUCGACGCAACGCGAAGAACCUUACCAAGUCUUGACAUCCUGCGACGGUGCUGGAAACAGUACUUUCCUUCGGGACGCAGAGACAGGUGGUGCAUGGUUGUCGUCAGCUCGUGUCGUGAGAUGUUGGGUUAAGUCCCGCAACGAGCGCAACCCUUAUGGUCAGUUACUACGCAAGAGGACUCUGGCCAGACUGCCGUUGACAAAACGGAGGAAGGUGGGGAUGACGUCAAAUCAUCAUGCCCUUUAUGACUUGGGCUACACACGUACUACAAUGGCGUUAAACAAAGAGAAGCAAGACCGCGAGGUGGAGCAAAACUCAGAAACAACGUCCCAGUUCGGACUGCAGGCUGCAACUCGCCUGCACGAAGUCGGAAUUGCUAGUAAUCGCAGAUCAGCAUGCUGCGGUGAAUACGUUCCCGGGCCUUGUACACACCGCCCGUCACACCAUGAGAGCCGGGGGGACCCGAAGUCGGUAGUCUAACCGCAAGGAGGACGCCGCCGAAGGUAAAACUGGUGAUUGGGGUGAAGUCGUAACAAGGUAGCCGUAGGAGAACCUGCGGCUGGAUCACCUCCUUU